UACAGGGGGUGCAAACGUUGCUCGGAAUCAUUGGGCGUAAAGCGCACGUAGGCGGUUCGUUAUGUCGGAUGUGAAAGCCCUUGGCUUAACCGAGGAAGUGCAUCCGAAACUGGCGAGCUAGAGUACUAAAGAGGAUCGCGGAAUUCCCGGUGUAGAGGUGAAAUUCGUAGAUAUCGGGAGGAACACCGGUGGCGAAGGCGGCGAUCUGGGAAGAUACUGACGCUGAGGUGCGAAAGCGUGGGGAGCGAACAGG
rnacentral:rRNA from 1 species